rnacentral:sRNA from 1 species
CUGACAGCACUAGUGACUGAAUUCAUCUAAUUACCCACAGCAUAGGUACAGCACAGAGAGCAGAGAUGCAAGCUUCUUCUCCAUGCUGCCUGCCUGCCAGGCUGAUCCCGAGAGCCUCAGUCUAAGGGUUAAAGAGGGUACUCUGGUUCCCAAGCUCAUUCAAUCCUUUGUUUGU